GGUUAAGCGACUAAGCGUACACGGUGGAUGCCCUGGCAGUCAGAGGCGAUGAAGGACGUGCUAAUCUGCGAAAAGCGUCGGUAAGGUGAUAUGAACCGUUAUAACCGGCGAUGUCCGAAUGGGGAAACCCAGUGUGUUUCGACACACUAUCAUUAACUGAAUCCAUAGGUUAAUGAGGCGAACCGGGGGAACUGAAACAUCUAAGUACCCCGAGGAAAAGAAAUCAACCGAGAUUCCCCCAGUAGCGGCGAGCGAACGGGGAGGAGCCCAGAGCCUGAAUCAGUGUGUGUGUUAGUGGAAGCGUCUGGAAAGGCGUGCGAUACAGGGUGACAGCCCCGUACACAAAAAUGCACAUGCUGUGAGCUCGAUGAGUAGGGCGGGACACGUGGUAUCCUGUCUGAAUAUGGGGGGACCAUCCUCCAAGGCUAAAAUACUCCUGACUGACCGAUAGUGAACCAGUACCGUGAGGGAAAGGCGAAAAGAACCCCGGCGAGGGGAGUGAAAAAGAACCUGAAACCGUGUACGUACAAGCAGUGGGAGCCUCUUUAUGGGGUGACUGCGUACCUUUUGUAUAAUGGGUCAGCGACUUAUAUUCUGUAGCAAGGUUAACCGAAUAGGGGAGCCGGAGGGAAACCGAGUCUUAACUGGGCGUUAAGUUGCAGGGUAUAGACCCGAAACCCGGUGAUCUAGCCAUGGGCAGGUUGAAGGUUGGGUAACACUAACUGGAGGACCGAACCGACUAAUGUUGAAAAAUUAGCGGAUGACUUGUGGCUGGGGGUGAAAGGCCAAUCAAACCGGGAGAUAGCUGGUUCUCCCCGAAAGCUAUUUAGGUAGCGCCUCGUGAAUUCAUCUCCGGGGGUAGAGCACUGUUUCGGCAAGGGGGUCAUCCCGACUUACCAACCCGAUGCAAACUGCGAAUACCGGAGAAUGUUAUCACGGGAGACACACGGCGGGUGCUAACGUCCGUCGUGAAGAGGGAAACAACCCAGACCGCCAGCUAAGGUCCCAAAGUCAUGGUUAAGUGGGAAACGAUGUGGGAAGGCCCAGACAGCCAGGAUGUUGGCUUAGAAGCAGCCAUCAUUUAAAGAAAGCGUAAUAGCUCACUGGUCGAGUCGGCCUGCGCGGAAGAUGUAACGGGGCUAAACCAUGCACCGAAGCUGCGGCAGCGACGCUGAUGCGUUGUUGGGUAGGGGAGCGUUCUGUAAGCCUGUGAAGGUGUGCUGUGAGGCAUGCUGGAGGUAUCAGAAGUGCGAAUGCUGACAUAAGUAACGAUAAAGCGGGUGAAAAGCCCGCUCGCCGGAAGACCAAGGGUUCCUGUCCAACGUUAAUCGGGGCAGGGUGAGUCGACCCCUAAGGCGAGGCCGAAAGGCGUAGUCGAUGGGAAACAGGUUAAUAUUCCUGUACUUGGUGUUACUGCGAAGGGGGGACGGAGAAGGCUAUGUUGGCCGGGCGACGGUUGUCCCGGUUUAAGCGUGUAGGCUGGUUUUCCAGGCAAAUCCGGAGAAUCAAGGCUGAGGCGUGAUGACGAGGCACUACGGUGCUGAAGCAACAAAUGCCCUGCUUCCAGGAAAAGCCUCUAAGCAUCAGGUAACAUCAAAUCGUACCCCAAACCGACACAGGUGGUCAGGUAGAGAAUACCAAGGCGCUUGAGAGAACUCGGGUGAAGGAACUAGGCAAAAUGGUGCCGUAACUUCGGGAGAAGGCACGCUGAUAUGUAGGUGAAGCGACUUGCUCGUGGAGCUGAAAUCAGUCGAAGAUACCAGCUGGCUGCAACUGUUUAUUAAAAACACAGCACUGUGCAAACACGAAAGUGGACGUAUACGGUGUGACGCCUGCCCGGUGCCGGAAGGUUAAUUGAUGGGGUCAGCGCAAGCGAAGCUCUUGAUCGAAGCCCCGGUAAACGGCGGCCGUAACUAUAACGGUCCUAAGGUAGCGAAAUUCCUUGUCGGGUAAGUUCCGACCUGCACGAAUGGCGUAAUGAUGGCCAGGCUGUCUCCACCCGAGACUCAGUGAAAUUGAACUCGCUGUGAAGAUGCAGUGUACCCGCGGCAAGACGGAAAGACCCCGUGAACCUUUACUAUAGCUUGACACUGAACACUGGUCCUUGAUGUGUAGGAUAGGUGGGAGGCUUUGAAGUGUGGACGCCAGUCUGCAUGGAGCCGUCCUUGAAAUACCACCCUUUAAUGGCUGGUGUUCUAACGUAGGCCCCUUAUCGGGGUUGCGGACAGUGUCUGGUGGGUAGUUUGACUGGGGCGGUCUCCUCCUAAAGAGUAACGGAGGAGCACGAAGGUUGGCUAAUCCUGGUCGGACAUCAGGAGGUUAGUGCAAUGGCAUAAGCCAGCUUGACUGCGAGCGUGACGGCGCGAGCAGGUGCGAAAGCAGGUCAUAGUGAUCCGGUGGUUCUGAAUGGAAGGGCCAUCGCUCAACGGAUAAAAGGUACUCCGGGGAUAACAGGCUGAUACCGCCCAAGAGUUCAUAUCGACGGCGGUGUUUGGCACCUCGAUGUCGGCUCAUCACAUCCUGGGGCUGAAGUAGGUCCCAAGGGUAUGGCUGUUCGCCAUUUAAAGUGGUACGCGAGCUGGGUUUAGAACGUCGUGAGACAGUUCGGUCCCUAUCUGCCGUGGGCGCUGGAGAACUGAGGGGGGCUGCUCCUAGUACGAGAGGACCGGAGUGGACGCAUCACUGGUGUUCGGGUUGUCAUGCCAAUGGCACUGCCCGGUAGCUAAAUGCGGAAGAGAUAAGUGCUGAAAGCAUCUAAGCACGAAACUUGCCCCGAGAUGAGUUCUCCCUGACCCUUUAAGGGUCCUGAAGGAACGUUGAAGACGACGACGUUGAUAGGCCGGGUGUGUAAGCGCAGCGAUGCGUUGAGCUAACCGGUACUAAUGAACCGUGAGGCUUAACCUU
rnacentral:rRNA from 1 species